UACGGAGGGGACUAGCGUUGUUCGGAAUUACUGGGCGUAAAGCGCACGUAGGCGGAUUUGUUAGUCAGGGGUGAAAUCCCGAGGCUCAACCUCGGAACUGCCUUUGAUACUGCGAAUCUCGAGUCCGGAAGAGGUGAGUGGAAUUCCUAGUGUAGAGGUGAAAUUCGUAGAUAUUAGGAAGAACACCAGUGGCGAAGGCGGCUCACUGGUCCGGUACUGACGCUGAGGUGCGAAAGCGUGGGGAGCAAACAGG
rnacentral:rRNA from 1 species